GGGGAAUCUUGGGCAAUGGACGCAAGUCUGACCCAGCAACGCCGCGUGAAGGAAGAAGGCUUUCGGGUUGUAAACUUCUUUUAAGGGGGAAGAGUAGAAGACGGUACCCCUUGAAUAAGCCACGGCUAACUACGUGCCAGCAGCCGCGGUAAUACGUAGGGGGCAAGCGUUGUCCGGAAUGAUUGGGCGUAAAGGGGGCGUAGGCGGCCCGGUAAGUCUGGAGUGAAAGUCCUGCUUUUAAGGUGGGAAUUGCUUUGGAUACUGUCGGGCUUGAGUGCAGGAGAGGUAAGCGGAAUUCCCGGUGUAGCGGUGAAAUGCGUAGAGAUCGGGAGGAACACCAGUGGCGAAGGCGGCUUACUGGACUGUAACUGACACUGAGGCACGAAAGCGUGGGGAGCAAACA
rnacentral:rRNA from 1 species